AACAAUUCUAUGAUUCUAAGAACAACAAUGCCACCUUCCUUUCCCCCUGUCCCAGCAAUGGAGACAUGGAGCUUGCAGGUCUCUGAUGAUGAUCCUUACUGUGGAUUUAAGCUUUUUUUAAUCCCUCUCUCCACGAGGACGUAGCAGAUAGAUACCAAAAUUGAAGCGUGCUCAUAAAUCUGCAGCCCCGGCCCAUGUGAGGUGCCUUCAUCUCCCAUCUGAAGAGGUUUGCUGACAAAAUGACCAAGGUUCCUGCAGUCCAAAGGGAGCGUGCCUGGUGGGAUUGAGCUUGGCAGACUGUUUUGGCAGGGUUUGAUGCUUCAGUCGCACACCUGUAUGUCUGGCUGCGUUGACACGCGUUGCUCAGGAAGGAGCUGGUUCAAAGCUUGCUGUGCAGGUUGCUGGCUUGUUCAGCA